rnacentral:lncRNA from 1 species
CUGAGUAGCGAGGCAAGCGAGGGGUCACGGCAUCGAGGGAGCAGGAGGCAAGGGCGAGACGAGCGCGGGGCGACUGGCGUCCAGCGGCGGCGUUGAGGGCGAACGGCAUCCGGCGGCGGCGUCCGGCGGCAGUGUCGAGGGCGAGCGACGUCAGCGACGGGCAGAGGCAGAGAGCGGGAGGGUCCGGUUCGGUUCUUCGGUUCCCGGGUGCUCACCCCUGCUUAAGCCCGAACGAAGACUCUUUAUAGGCAUACUAGCACACACAACAAGCGUACCAGAAUGCACAUCAGCGUCAACGGAGAACCGGCAUGGCUGGAGUUCACAUAAGCUGAACAGCCGCGAACUCAGACCCCGCGUGCCCAAAACAAGGCACGCACAGAUGAAGAAAGGCCUACCUAGGCCGGCGUGGUGCUGUGGCGGGCGGUGGUCGGUGGGCUGGCCUCCGGCGACGCAAGUCUCUUACUUCUUUCUCACACAGACGAAGCGGACUACUCACUCUCUCUCUCGCUCCCUUGGUCUCUCUCGGUCUCACUCUCUAACCGAGCCCAUGCACGGCUGAACCUCUCCCGCUCUCCCUCAGUCGCACGGAACUGUCCUUCUCGGUCUCUCUCCCUCGAGCUCAUCUCUCUCUCAGCCCAAAAUCUACGGAUAAACCAGAACCCCCUUGCUUUCCCUCUCUCUGUCGCUCUCCCUUGCUUGGUCCCUCGGCCAAAAAGGAAACCCUCAAAAAGAGAGGAUGGAAGAAGAAGAAGAAGAAGAAGAAGAAGAAGAAGAAGAAGAAGAAGAAGGGGGUGAUUUCGACCUAGAGAGGGGGAAAGAGAAGAGAGAGAAAGAGAAGAAAACAAAAAAAGUUUGGGGGAGGCAGGAAGUGACGUGAGGAGGAAAAAGGGGAGAAAAGAAAGAGAGAGAGAAAAAG